rnacentral:rRNA from 1 species
AUGGACAUGUACAAAUUUUCAGAUCAAGUCAUCACCUCGGCUACUAGGCGGUGUGUAUGUUGUGCUGCACGUGGUUUUACAGAUUGUCCUGCGUCAGUUCCUACGAAUUCAAAGGCAGUGCGAUUCACCACACCUGCUGCUCAGAAAAUAAAAGGGCAAAGGCUUGACUUAUCUGACUGUGAAGGUACAUCAACGGCACCGCUAGGAGGGGCUUCUCGGAAGCGUGCCUUAUGCGCCGAGGACUCUACAUCUAGUACCAAGAAAUCAAACUCAGGGGCAUCUUGCAACAUUCUUACUUAUUUCAAGUCAACUAUAGUAUCAGUUGCUCAAAAGUAUGCUGACCUGUCAAAUAACCCAAAUGUCAAUGUCUUUGGUCAAUGUCGAAACACCCCUCAAAAACGGAAGUAUAUAUUCUAG